UUUGUUUACGGAAAAUUAAAUAAGGACAGAGCACGUUCAGAGAAGCGAACCCAGUACCCAGUCUUGUUUUGGCUCUUAUCCUUUAUCGACACAUAGGGUCUGUUCCUUUUGUUGAACUGGCUGCACUAAUUCAGAGUUUCUCCACAUUGGAAAGAAAAAGAUAAACUCUGAACUAGUGCAACUAGUUCAGCAAAACGAACAGACCCAUGGUUUAACGGCGCUGCUUUCUGUUCGUUGUUCACGUAAUGAUACAUCAGUAACAAUAUUUUUAUAUUAUCUAGAAUUAUAUGUGAGAGAUAUGAUAAAAUGUGUUUUUAUACGUUAUGUUUACUCUCGUGAAAUUUCUUAAUUUUUCUCAUAUGACAAAAGUACAAUAAUAUAUUAAAUACUUGUCACGGUUUUUUAUAUAUAACCUUCAAAUUGUAUAAGAUAACGAAUUAAUAUUCUAAGUUUUCAAAAAGACGACGAAGAAGGUCACUAAAAUGAAUGUGAAUGUGAAAAGUGUAUGCAGAAAAACAACUCAAAAAGUAAAUUUAUCUAUUGCUAUAAAUGAAAAAUUCCAAAGGUGUUUAAAGAAUUAUUUUUACUUAUAAAAGUAAUAAAAGAAUGCUAUAAAGAACUAAAGAAAAGCUACAGUUUCGAAAAAGAAAAUGUGAAUAUAACAGAUGGGAAUGAACUUACAUUUUAAAUUGCAUUGAAUUUUUCUUCACAAAGUAUAGAAGAAUUGGAAAAAGUGGAACAAUAUUUUCAAGAACGAAAUAAAUCAAUUUUUCAAUCAACUGUGUAACCUCUUUUUAACACCUUUGUUUCUCAUCUAUAUGUGAAGUUCCAUAUAUUCUUUAUUGUCAAUUUGUGUCCAUUUGACGUCCAUUGGAUAUCUCUUAAAGAUGUCAAGGAUUAAACCAUGUUCACCAUUUUAAUAUUUGGAUAUAUCGUGAAUAUCAUUAUAUAUUUGAGGGACAUAAAACGGACAUUUUAUGGGCAUUUUUCUUGAAGAAUAUUUGUGGGAUAUUUUUCAGAUACCUAUGUACUAUCUGGACAUUACUGUUGUCAUGUGACGUAUUUAUUUCAUGAUACAUAUUUCUUGCUCCAAGAAACGUUUAAUGUGUCUUGUAAGUGUCGUCUGUUUUUAAGCAUUUGUAAAAUAAUAUUCAUGAUAUUUAUGCAAGUAAGUGGUAUUUUUACAUAUACAUACACACACGUAUGCAAUUAAAGAAGAAAUCGUUAAAUAGUAUGAGAGUGACGAACACAGAGUCUUAAUCUCUAUAUGAAAGCUGUAUACAGAAACACACAUAUUUAUAUAUAAACAUACGUGUAUAUAUUUUCACUGUAUAUUCUAGUAGCUGUUUUUUAUUUUUCUAUUUUUUUUUAAUUAUAAUUUAAAUUAUAAUUGUAAUGGAAACUUGUGAUGAAUUGAGUAAAAAACGUAAGCGAGGUUUUGCAGAAGCUUGGCUUACUGAUGAUCGAUAUAAAUCUUGGAUAUGCAAAGUAUCAUCUGAUCAAAGUCUUUAUUAUUGUAGUAUAUGCAACAAAAAUUUUUCAUGUAAUUCAACACAUGUAUCUAGACAUGUGGAUUCUGCGUGUCAUAGAAAUAAUAUUGAUAAGGCAAAAACAAUAUUAGCUGAUGCUGAUUGUGAAAAUAAUUUACCAACAAAAAAGUCAUCACGUAAAUCUGUAUUUCAACAAAGAUGGUUAGAAAUUGAACAAUUUAAAUGCUGGUUACAUGAAGUGCCACACGACACAAAUUUAUUUUUUUGUUCCAUUUGCGAUAAAUCUAUUGCUGGCGGUUUAUCGCAAAUCUAUCGACACGCUGAAUCUAAAACACAUAUAGAUAAAUAUGAAAAAAAUAAUAUUGAAUUAAGCAAAUCGAAUGAAGAAAAAAAAUCCAAUAUGCAAAUUAAUGAAUCAUUUUUAACAUUUGAUGACCGUAGAAAAUCAGCGGAAAUUAGAUAUGCCGCCUUAAUUGCUGACAAAAAUAUUCCCCAUCAAACUGCAGAAGAGAUUCUCAACUUCUUUCAACAUAUAGGAAAAGAUCAUACUGUAUUAAAAAAUAUGGAAAUGGGCCAACCAAAAUUAUAUUAAUAUACUAAUAUUAUUACAUAUGUGUUUUAGGUUCGGUUAAGAUGAGUCGCAUCGUUAAAUUUUGUGUUCUAAGUGUUUUAUUUUUAUUGAGGUCCGAUAUUAAUACUAAUGAUAAAUGAAUGUUUUAUUUUUUUGCUCAAGACGUUAAUUUAGAGACAUUAGAUAUUCGCUCAUAAUUAAUGAAAAUAAUUAAUAUUGAUGUCAAGGAUUCAAGCGGAGAAAAAUUAUUUCAUACAUUUAGAAAGUAAUAUUUUAUUAGCCCAAAUUUAUAAUAAGUGUAGUGUAAGUCUUAAACUAUAACAAAAAUUGAUUAAUCACAGUCAAAUGUGAAGAAAAUAAUUAAUUGUUAUUGGUAAUUUUUUUACGGUUUAAGGCUUACUACUAUACCUAUAGCAGAUCAGGUCUUACAUUUUUUUUACAUAAAAUUAAUAUCAGUAAAACUCAAUUUUUUACAUUGUUACGGUAUAUUGUAAAUACGUAAUUACGUAAAUAAUAGUUAAUAAUAUAAAUUAUAUUAAAAUGAAUUAUAAAAAUGAAUUAUAAAAAUUUAAUAUUUUUAAACAAUUGAUGCUUAUAUUGUUUAUUUACUAUACAUAUUCUACAAAUAAAUUACUUUUGCAAUCGAUACAUUUUUUCUCUUCUAAUAAAUCACGGCUGUAUAGCAUUAUCGAGUGAUAUGUUAUUACGUCAUAGUAUUUGCACUAUAUUUUCUUAUUAAUUUAGAAGAUUGAUUACAAAACUACGUAUGUAUGUCAAACAAAAGAAAAUGUUUAUUAAUGUCCAGUGCUGUAAAUAAAAAAAUUUUAAA